rnacentral:rRNA from 1 species
GACGUAGGGUGCGAGCGUUGUCCGGAUUUAUUGGGCGUAAAGGGCGCGUAGGCGGCCAUUCAAGUCGGAGGUGAAAGCCCAGGGCUCAACCCCUGGAAUUGCCUUCGAUACUGUUUGGCUAGAGACCGGAAGAGGUAAGUGGAACUGCGAGUGUAGAGGUGAAAUUCGUAGAUAUUCGCAAGAACACCAGUGGCGAAGGCGGCUUACUGGUCCGGUUCUGACGCUGAGGCGCGAAAGCGUGGGGAGCGAACAGG